GGAUAACCUGCCCUGUGGUGGGAAAUAACCCCGGGAAACUGGGGAUAAUGUCCCAUAGACUACGGAUACUGGAAUGUUCUGUAGUUCAAAGAUUUAUCGCCACAGGAUGGAUCUGCGGCCGAUUAGGUAGUUGUUGGGGUAACGGCCAAACAAGCCUUUGAUCGGUACGGGUUGUGGGAGCAAGAGCCCGGAGAUGGAUUCUGAGACACGAAUCCAGGCCCUACGGGGCGCAGCAGGCGCGAAAACUUUACAAUGCGGGAAACCGUGAUAAGGGAACUCCGAGUGUCCGUAAAUGCGGACUGUCCGUAUGUCUAAAAAGCAUGCGAAGAAAGGGCCGGGCAAGACCGGUGCCAGCCGCCGCGGUAAUACCGGCGGCUCGAGUGGUGGCCACUAUUACUGGGCUUAAAGCGUUCGUAGCUGGGUCGUUAAGUCUCUUGGGAAAUCUACCGGCUUAACCGAUAGGCGUCCAAGGGAUACUGGCGAUCUAGGGACCGGGAGAGGUGAGGGGUACUUCAGGGGUAGGAGUGAAAUCCUGUAAUCCUUGGGGGACCACCUGUGGCGAAGGCGCCUCACCAGAACGGCUCCGACAGUGAGGGACGAAAGCUGGGGGAGCAAACCGGAUUAGAUACCCGGGUAGUCCCAGCCGUAAACGAUGCGCGUUAGGUGUAUCGAUGACCACGAGUCAUCGAGGUGCCGAAGGGAAACCGUGAAACGCGCCGCCUGGGAAGUACGGUCGCAAGGCUGAAACUUAA
rnacentral:rRNA from 1 species